rnacentral:rRNA from 1 species
UUUUAGUAGGGAAGAAGCGAAAGUGACGGUACCUGCAGAAAAAGCACCGGCUAACUACGUGCCAGCAGCCGCGGUAAUACGUAGGGUGCAAGCGUUGUCCGGAAUUAUUGGGCGUAAAGAGCUCGUAGGCGGUUUGUCGCGUCUGCUGUGAAAUCCCGAGGCUCAACCUCGGGCUUGCAGUGGGUACGGGCAGACUAGAGUGCGGUAGGGGAGAUUGGAAUUCCUGGUGUAGCGGUGGAAUGCGCAGAUAUCAGGAGGAACACCGAUGGCGAAGGCAGAUCUCUGGGCCGUAACUGACGCUGAGGAGCGAAAGCGUGGGGAGCGAACAGGAUUAGAUACCCUGGUAGUCCACGCCGUAAACGUUGGGCGCUAGAUGUAGGGACCUUUCCACGGUUUCUGUGUCGUAGCUAACGCAUUAAGCGCCCCGCCUGGGGAGUACGGCCGCAAGGCUAAAACUCAAAGGAAUUGACGGGGGCCCGCACAAGCGGCGGAGCAUGCGGAUUAAUUCGAUGCAACGCGAAGAACCUUACCAAGGCUUGACAUACACCGGAAACGGCCAGAGAUGGUCGCCCCCUUGUGGUCGGUGUACAGGUGGUGCAUGGUUGUCGUCAGCUCGUGUCGUGAGAUGUUGGGUUAAGUCCCGCAACGAGCGCAACCCUCGUUCUAUGUUGCCAGCGGGUCAUGCCGGGGACUCAUAGGAGACUGCCGGGGUCAACUCGGAGGAAGGUGGGGAUGACGUCAAAUCAUCAUGCCCCUUAUGUCUUGGGCUUCACGCAUGCUACAAUGGCCGGUACAAAGGGCUGCGAUACCGUAAGGUGGAGCGAAUCCCAAAAAGCCGGUCUCAGUUCGGAUUGAGGUCUGCAACUCGACCUCAUGAAGUCGGAGUCGCUAGUAAUCGCAGAUCAGCAACGCUGCGGUGAAUACGUUCCCGGGCCUUGUACACACCGCCCGUCAAGUCAUGAAAGUCGGUAACACCCGAAGCCGGUGGC